GAGCCGCAGGGAGGGGGCCCGGUGGCGGGUGUCGCGGGGGUUUGUCCUCGGCCCGGAGGACAUCGGAGGCACGGAGGGGAAACUGAAGGGCGCCCGGGCUCUGCGGGGCUGUGUCCCAAGCAAGCCCCGCGGAAGGUUCGGGAAGCCCCGACGGUGAGCAUUUCCAAAACCUCCCCGGGAAGCUGCCCGUCCGGCCCAAGUGGGAGCACUUACUGCCUGCGAUCUGGGCCAGAGGAGGGAUUCCUGGGGCUCGGCCUCGCCCCUUCCUCCCCAUCCCACCCCUACCCCGCUCUACCUAAGUACCUGACCUAGACUCCAGAGAGAAAACCGAGCCUGGUGCCGGGAGGGCUCGGGAUAUGGAAGUCAAUAGGCCACUUGCUCGCAGAGAACUUGUGGUACUAAUACCAGAGCUACAGGGCAGGAAGACAGGAGUUACACGAGCCAAGCAUUAUGACCUUGCUCGGCACCUUGCUUAUGUGCCCACGUAGACCAAGCUUGCAGCUCCCUCACACCCUUAAUAAUGUGACUAGGUCAUCUCUGUUAAGGGCUUUGACGACUUACAUUGAGAAAAACGUACUGUUUGGCCAGGUGAACUAUAGUCGUUUCUAUAAAAUAUAAGCCACACUGCACGGGUGUGGUGGCAUCCCUCUAUAAUCUCAGCACUCUGGAAGCUGAGGCCGGAGGGUCACCUCCAAUUUGGAGACCAGCCUGGACUAUACAACAAGAGCAAAACCACCCUGAGCUACCUCAAAAGACAGCAAAAAUAAUAUAAACAAACCACCGCAAUCCCCUACCUACCUGCCUUUGUCAGAAGUCAGUAACCUGGAAAACGUUUUUAAAAAAAUUUCACAGACCUUGGCACAAGAUUUAUGAAAAGUAAUCAGCCAGAUGUGGUACCCCAGGCCUGCGAUCCCAGCAUUUUCGGGGUAAAGGCUGGAGGAUUGGGAGUUCAAGGCCAACCUAGGCUACUUAAUGAGUUUAAGGUAACCUGGACUACCUUGUCUCAAAAACCCACAAAGAUAAAAAUAAAAAGUCACCCUAUGCAACGAUCUCUCUGUAAAUGUUACAGAGACCAAAGUGGCUCCCCAACUUCAUCAGAGAGACUGAAAUCACCUGUGACCUAAAGGUCUCAUGCCCAGGUGAUGCUGUCAUAACUGAAGGGCGGGGUCCACAAGAAGUCUAGAACCACAGAAUCUGAGUAAGAAUAUACCGUGGGAGCUGAAGAGAGAGCCCUAGAGCAGUGGUUCUCAACCUUCCUAAUGUGUGAUCCCUUAAUACAGUUCCUUGUGUGGUGAUUGCCAACCAUAAAAUUAUCUUUGUUGCUACUUCAUAGCUGUAAUUUUGCUACUGUUAUGAAUCACAAUGUAAAUAUCUGAUAUGCAACCCCUGUGAAAGGGUCAUUCAACCCCAAAGGGGUCACAACCCACAUGUUGGGAACCACUGCUCUAAAGUUUUUUCUGCUCUUCUAGAAGAACCGAGUUUGGUUCACAGCGCCCAUGUUAGGGAGCUCACAACUGCCUGUAACUCCAGCUCCAAGGGAUCUGGCCCCCUCUUCUUAGGCACCUACACUCACAGGUACAUAACCAAACACAGAAACACACAUAUAACUGAAAACAAACUCUUUAAAGUAUUUGUGUGAGUGCAUGCACACGAAUGUACAUAUAUGCAGUGGAACUCCCACUCUGUCCAGAAAAGGGUUAACUGGUUCUGAUGACAGGAUCAUAUACCCAAUAUCAGGGCCCAAACCCUGAUUCAAAGCUUUGGGGUAUAGGUCAGUGGACAAGCACUUUAGCAGCUUAAUCCUCAGUACCCCCGCCAUCACCAAAAAAAAAAAAAAAAAAACCAAAACGGUUUUGUUUGUGAGGCAGAGUGUCACUCUGUAGCCCAGGCUGACCUGGAACUCUUGGGGGUCUGCCUGUCUCAGCAUCCCCAGUGAAAUGGGAUUGUCCAAGGUACACUGUGAAGACUGGUCAGCCAGCUGUGCGGUCUCAGUCCAUUCUCAGUGUGAUUUAUAAAUAAAUUAGGUUCCAUUGAAUUCUGAAGUUGUUCUAUCCACUUUAGUUCCUCAGAGCCUAAUUAAACCUGAGCAAGUGAAAUUUUAGUUUCCAAAUCUGCCAAACUAGGCCAGCAAAGAUGGCGGGCGCAGCAGGGGAGGUGCCACUGCCAAGGAAGGAGAGCACUGACUCGUACAAACUGUUCUCUGACUUCCACGCGUGUGCUUCUGUACACACACACACACACACACACACUCAUACACACACACACACAAAUGUAAAAAAUGAUUCUGCCAAACUGAUGACUAAAGCCUUUUUCAUAGUAGCCCAAUCAAGAUGAAGUUUACAUUUAACCUUGUAUCUUUCUUUAAAUGUGGUUUGUCUCAUUUUGGAAAUGAGAAAGAAGUUUUACUAACAGACUUAAGAGAGCCCAUGCAUGAUGAUUCACUCAUUAGGUGGAGGCUGGGGGAUCAGAAGUUCAAGAUCAUCCUCAGCUGUAUUGUGAUUUUGAGGCUAGCCUGGACAACAUGAGAGCCAGAGUCAAAAAAGGCCAGCAAGUCUGUGACCAUACCACCCUGAACUUGACAGAUCUCAUCCCAUCUCAGAAGCAGGGUCGGGCCUGGUCUUGAAUGAGAGACUGCUUUGGAAUACAGGGUACUUUAGGCUUUGCUAGAGGCAGAGGCAGGCAAUCUCUUGAAUUCUAGGACAGCCUGGUCUGUCUGCAUAGUGAGUUCCAGGGCAGCUAGGGGUAUAUAGAGAAACCCCAUCUCAAAAAAAAUAUAUAUAAUAUAUAUAUACAUAUAUAUAUGAAAAAAAUUAUAUAUAUUUUAUAUAUAUAAAACUUUUACAUUUUAAAUUAAAUAUGUUAUAUAUGUUAAAUUUUUAAAAAGAGGACACACUGGGUGGUGGUGGUGGUGGUGCACACCUUUUAUCCCUGCACUGGAGAGGCAGAGGCAGGUGGAUCUGUGAGUUCAAGGCCAGCCUGGUCUACAGAGUGAGUUCAGGAUAGCCAGGGCUACAUAGAGAAACCCUGUCUUGAAAAACCAAAAAAAAGGUGGAGAAAAAAAGAGGACACAAGGUUAGGUGGGUAGGGAAGGAGUUGGGACCUGGAUGGAAUGGAGGCAAGGGUAAAUAAGAUCAAAAUACAGUGUAUGAAAUUCUUAAAGGAACUAAUAAUUGUUUAAAGGAGCUAUUGAUAAAGGCAACAUUUUCAGCUUUUACAACAUUUUCUUCAAAUAAUGGUUUCCGGGAAUAUACCCAUGUUAAUUUCUGUGAGACAUUUCCUAAUUCUUAGAGUUAGAGAAUUUGAAAACAGUGGGAAAUUUCACAAGCCUAUGAAACUGUUAAAAUUGAAGAUCCCAGCGGGCUAGGCUAAUGAGAUGGCCCAGCAGGUAAAGGCUCUUGCUUCCAGGCCUGAGUCUGAUACCCAAGGCCCACACAGGAGAGAGAAAGCUCCCCAGCCUGUCCUCUGACCUCUGUCCACACUGUGGUACAGACCCACACGUGAAGUAGAUACAUAAAUAAAUGUAAAGCUGUUUUUAAGAAAAGAAUUCCACCAGCUUAAACAUUCUAAAUAAAGCCUCUACCUUAUUUUCUUUUUUUGUGAGUCCAUGGUUGGAAAACGGGCAGUACAACUGCUUCAGACGCUUAAUCAUAAGCCAGCAAAGUCAUGAGUAACGCCUAAGAGAACAAAAAGUCCUCCUGCCCCCACUUCCACAGGCCCUUCUUGGCACAAUUGCUAUAGUAGGUGCUUUGUGUGAAGCCCAAGAUGGGAGCCCCCCUCUUACCUCUAGGUAUCCUAGUAUUAAAGUACAGGUUUUCAAAUACCUAUGACUUGAUUCACUGAACAUCUUCCCUCGGGAUAUUCAAGAACCUGCCUAAGAAAACAAGUCCUGGAUCUUGGUUUUGCUUUGGUUUUGUUUGGUUUUGGUUUUUUCAAGACAGGGUUUCUCUGUGUAACAGCCCUAGCUGUCCUGGAACUUGCUCUGUAGACCAGGCUGGCCUCGAACUCAGAGAGAUCCACCUGCCUCUGCCUCCUGAGUGCUGGGAUUAAAGGGGUGUGCCACCACUGCCCAGCUGAAUUCUGGAUCUUAGUAAUAUAGAGUGUUCAGUAUGCAGAGCUUGUGGGCUAUAAUUUUUAAACUAAAAAUUUGAUCAGAAGUAGUAGCACAGGCCUAUAAUCUCAAAAUGGGAGGCAGAGACCUGAGGACCACUGUGAGUUCACAGACAACCUGGAACUACUUAGGGCACCUUGUCUCACAGAACUAAACCAAACAAAAAGCAAAAAGACUAGCCAUGGAAACGCCUCUGCAGGUAAAAGCAUGUGCUGCAUAAGCCUGAGACCCUGGGUCGGUCCCCAGAACCCACAGACAGCUGGGUACAUCUGUAAUCCCAACACUGCUAUAUCAAGAUGAGAGAUGGAGACAGAGAAUUGCCUAGAAGCUCAGGGGCCAGCUAACCUAGUAUGGCAGAGCAGCAGAAACAAGAGGCCCUGACUCCACAAAGUGGAAGAGACAAGAAAGAACUGACUCCCCAAAUGCACACACGAUGACAUUUUUCUUUCAUUUAAAAAAAACUUCCUUUUGCCAUCCCUUUGAAUUUGUACAGUGGCAAUAGAUCACCCACCUAAUUGAAAACCCACGGAAGAUCCAUGAGCUUUGUGAUUCCCUUACGAAUAGAAGGUCCUGUGAUGGCUGAAUCACGAAAGGUGAAGCUUUUCCCAUGUCUCCCGCUGGGGACAGCAGGCUUGCUGAUUCCCAACAACACAGCCUCUAAGCCUCCGAGUCCUCCUCCUCCUGCACCUCACUAGCAAGAGCCACAGGGAGGGGAGAGAAGGAAGAAAGGAGCAGAAAAAGGUCUUUCUUUCUUCAUGUGAUCAGUUAAUACUCCCUGGGCUUAGACCUUUAAAGCUGACUUUUCCUGAUGGACAUUUUUAUAACUUCAGAGGCCAGCACCACCUGUCUUUCCCAUCGUUUCUCACCCACAAUUCCCUUGAUCUGAGCAGAAUCACUGUAUUAGCAAAAGUUUUACUUUCUCAUUCAGCCACUUGUUGAAGACUGUUCAUCUUUGUGGGGGCCUGCCCUAUUGGAUAAGAUGUAAGGUCCUGGACCAACCCUUAUCAUUGUACAAAAUCAGUCCUCUGAGUGUGUGUGUGUGUGUGUGUGUGUGUGUGUGUGUGUGUUACUUUGGUUUUCCUGCAGGUGGCAGUAAAGUGUACGAGUUAAUAUGACUGACUGACAUUAGUAUGACAGCUGUGCAGUGUCUUGAAGAACUUGCUAAUGCUGCAAAUGUGUCGGACCGCGGUAUCUCUGUCCAGCCUUCACUGAGACCACAGGAAGCUCACAUGAACUUACCCAAACGUGGGAGGGCAGUCCCACCUUAGCUGGGACUCAGCAUUCCUCUGCUCUGCUGUCAGAAUAGCUGUCAGCCCUGGGAGUCAGUCACAAGCCCACUAUGCCCACUAACUUCAAGAAAAACAUGGCAAGUACUGAGUGGUCCCCUGAGGGCCCCUGUCACCUGCUGGAGGUGAGAGGCAGAUAGAUGCCUGCCUCUGAUAAGAUGGCGGCAUACAGCCGCAGUCCCCAAAGAAAUCCUCAGUAGUUCUUACUUAACCUUUUAACUAAACUAUAGUUGGUGUCGUAGUCCUGCUGUUGUCUAGAAUUUCUAAAAAGGAUGCCCCUCAAAACUCACUUUAAUGAGGUGAUGGGAAGGCAGGUAAUCUGGGAGAGUUGUAAUGUCUUGGUACUUCCCUUAAAACAGUAGUUCACCAGCUGUCAAGAUGCUUCCAUACAAGCCUUGUGACCCGAGUUCAAUCCCCAGAAGCCAUGUAAAGGUGGAAGGAGAGAACUGACCUUACGAGGUUGUCCUCUGACCUCCACGCUCACGCCACAGCACACUGACCCCCUUCCUAAGCACAUGCAUAAUACAUAAAUGCUUUAGUUAAACAACAGUUCUCAACCAGGACGUUUGGAGGCAGUGUAUAGACAUGUAGUUGGGAGGUAAACAUGGAGCAGACCCAGUAGUAACUACCAAGGACGCUGCUGAAUCUCGUACACAGCACAGGCUGCUCCACAGUGGAGACCGUAACUUCUUUUACACUGAUUUACUUGGGCGUGGAGGCACACACCUGUGUGGAGGUCAGAGACAACUUGGGGGAGUCACUUCUUCUAAACUAUGGGUCGUGGGGUUCACACACUUGGCCCCGAGUAGUUUUGCCAGGUAAGCCACCUCCCUUGGCUGAGAUUAUAGCUUCUGAUAUAAUACAUUUCUAUAAGCUUGACAGUCAUGUCCCAAAAUUACAUAGAUUUUUUUCUUAUGAAUGCUUAACCUAUAUAUAGCUGUAGAAGUCAUGGCUCGGUUUGGGGUCUUUUUGUUUUUGUUUUUUGUCUUUUGUUUUUGAGACAGUCUCUUGUAGACCAGGCUAGCCCUGAACUCCUGAUCUUCCUGCCUUCACCACCUCCUGAGUGUUGGGGUUACAAGUGUAUGCUGUCAUGCUGGGCUAGAACUCAUAUUUUGAUACAUUUCUAGUGUCGAAACUAUAACUAUUUAGUCAGGAUGAGAAGUGAGCAACCUGUGUGUUUCUAAGGAGCCCUCAAGUAAAUCCAGAUGAGGAAAGUUAUUCUUAGAAAGGGACUAUCUUUCACCUUUUCUUUUUGAGAUUACUUUUCACCCAGUAAAACAAGUAUUCCGUCCAACUUCCCUGAACUCAAGUAAUGUGUAUCUCAGAGGUAAGGCUGGGCAUCAGAUCAUUGGAGGGGGAUGAAUAAUUGCUGCAGCUGAGAGCAUGUCCUGGAUGCCAGGCAUCUGCCUCCUAGGGUCAUACAUAUGCCCGGGACCUCAGUGUCUCCUGUCACCUACAACCCAUGCAGAGAAUGAAAAUAGACCUCUUGACUCCUUCCAUUCAUUUGGUAGAAUUGAGUCCUUCACGAUGGAACAGGCUUGUGCCUGCUAAGAGGAAACUCAGAACUGAUUGUCCCCCUGGUCCCUACUGAUCUCAUCCAGCCCCAAAGCUGUUUGAGUGCUAGAGUGGGUUUAGUUUUGCUCAGUCAAGAUUGCCAUUGAUAUCUUCAGAGCCAUGUUAAUAAGAAAUGAGCCAUAGGAGUUAUCAAGCACAAAAAGACAUUUCUAUCCCCAAUUCUAUAACUUAAAAAGUUAAAUACACAACCAUUUAGUACAUAGACAUACUGAACUUAGCAUAAGAAAACUUGCAUUUGAGUUCUAGACCCUGUUAGUAGCCUUAUGGCUCUGGUUAAGUCCCGAGGGUCUCUCUUGGCAAAAUAGGAAAGCUAAUGUGAAUUGGUAUAUCAGAUGGUGUUCAGUGAACAGUAUGCUGUAGUAUUUUUCCUCUCCUGCUCUGGGGCCAGAAAACAUUUCUGGAAGUACUUUGCUUCUGUAGAUCUUUAUUGCUAGGGAUUGGUCCCUGUGUGAAAACUCUUCCCAGAAGUCACCAAACGUGUGUCCAUCUGUCUGGCUAUGUGCUUUGUGGUUUGGUUUUGCUUUACUUUUUGUGCAGUGUUUCUCUAUGUAGUCAGGGCUGUCCUGGAGCUCGCUAUGUAGACCAGGCUGGCCUUGAACUCACAGAGAUCCUUUUGUCUCUCUGCCUCUCUGUCUCUCUCUGUCUCUCUCUCCCUCUGCGCCUCUCUCUCUCUCUCUGUCUCUCCCUCUCGUGCUCUGUCUCUCUGCCUCUCUGCCCCUCUCUCUCUACCCCUCUGCCUCUCUUUCUCUCUCUCUCUCUCUCUCUCUCUCUCUCUCUCUCUCUCUCUCUCUCUCUCCCUCUACCCCACCCCCACCCCUCUGCCCCUCUGUCUCUCUCUCUAUGCCGUGCUGGGGUUAAAGGUGUUCAUCACCAUACCUGGCCCUAUUUUAUUCUGGGGAUCAACCCAGAACUGUAUCCUGUAUACCCUAUCCCUAGUCAAUUUGCUUUCAAAUGAAAAACCAAGAACCCCCAAACUCUUGGACCACACUUGGCUUCUUGGUACUAUUUUUAAAAUCCACUGAACCUCAAAGGCAUUUUUUCUUCUUGCUAGACAUCGUGAUAGACACUUUUGAUCCCAGUGCUCAGGAGCCUGAGAAAGGAGAAUCACUGCAAGCCUGGGAUCCAAAAGCCCAUCUCUUCCUCGGAGGCCCUGAGGUCUGGAAUGUGACCAUCUGGACUCCUUUUCAUCCAUCUCUCAUCCGAGCCCUGCCUGUAGCAAACUGAUAGGCAAGUGCUUACUACAGUCCCGCUGCAAGGGUAGAAUGAGGACAACCACUGUGGAAACGCUCGUCCAACGCCUAAGAGUGUCAGCCAGGAGUGUGUGUUCUGGCCCGAAGUGGUGGUGGUGCAUGACUUUAAUCCCAGCACUCAGGAGGCAGAAGCAUGUAGAUCUCUGUGAGUUCGAGGCCAGCCUGGUCUACAGAGCGAGAUCCAGGACAGGAUCCAAAGCUACACAGAAAAACCAUGUCAAGAAAAAAAAAAAAAAAAGAGUGUGUGUUCUCCAGUUGAGAUGACCUCGCAAUAUUCUGGAGGUGCCAGCAAGAUCCCCAGAGACUAACACACUGAGACACUGGGGAGUCUCAGACCACCUCAGGGCCAACAGCAUGGAAAAGGGACAGUUCCUAGGAGUGUGCACCCUGAGACAUUCCAGGGCCCCAGGAAUUUCUCGACCUCUACUCCUGAGCUCCCGAGCCGCUACCCUAAGGGAACUUACAGAAAGUCACCUGGCUCUGUCUCCUUCAGAGAUGAGUGUGUUUAUGGCACCUCCUGGAAAGUACACUUAGGAAAGGCUGAACACGGUGUCCAGGUAUGUGUGAGAUGUCCCUGGAAGCCCUGGUUUCAGUCUGUGUGGUGACCACCCCUGCUUGUCUUUCUUGUUGCCUGUCUCUGUGUCUCUGUGUGUUUGUCAAUUCUGUUGGCUGGAAGGGAGUUGCGAUGGGAGGGUGUGGUGGUCUGAAUAGAAGUGGCCCCCAUAGACUCAUGUGUUUGAAUGUUUGGUCACUAAGGAGUGGCACUAUUGGGAGGAGUGGCCUUGUUGGAGGAAGUGUGUCACUGGGGGUGGGCUUUGAGGUCUUAGAUCCUCAAGUUUGGCCAGUGUAUCUCUUCCUGCUGCCUGUGGAUCAAGAUGUAGAACUCUCAGCUACCUCUCCGGCACCGUGUCUGCCUGCACACUGCCAUGCUUCCCACCAUAACACUAAUGGACUAAACCUCUGAAACUGUAAGCCAGCUCCAAUUAAAUGUUUUCCUUUAUAAGAGUUGCUGUGGUCACGGUGUCUCUUCACAGCAGUAAAACCCUAACUAAGACGAGGAGGGGAAGUGGUAGUCCCAAGACACCAUUGAAGUAUAUGUUAAAACACUGCAAGGAAGUUGGCAUGGUCUCUGUAUCUCGUCUGGGAAACUCCGGACCUUCUGUGAAAUAGAUUAGCCUCUUUGGCAGUUGGGUGGCCCAGUGAUGUAUCUCUGGAUCCCCAGCUAGUUCAGGCUGUCUGGAACGUGGUGACUGGAGACUCUGGCCACCCUGACCAAUGUUCAUACAGUGGCCAAUGGCUUUCUCUGGUGCAAGAUCCACCCCCUUGACUUAAAACCAAUGCCCUCUCCCUGGGGACCUGAAUCCUCUUGUUUUGGCCAGGUUACCAAGAGAAACCUAAACCUCUGCCUGUUCUCUUUGUCCCACUGGAGGAAGCUGCCCCCCCCCCAAGGAAAUCAUUCCCAUGGCUACACUGAAGGGCAGAUAGUAUCUCGGGCCCCUCUCCCCUACACACAGAUGGAAUGGCUCUGGCUAAGAGCUCUGGGACAAAUUUCCCUGGGACAGGGUUAGUUCCCCCAUUCUGCCUCUAGGGGAAAACACACACACACACACACACACACACACACACACACACACACACACCCCUGUGGAUCCAAGCCCUGUAGUUCUCAUUCUUUUCCUUUCAUAGUUUGUACCUUCUUUGAUAGUUUAUAUCUCCUUUUCAAUCAAUGAUCUGUAUAAUUGGAAAACUCAGAACCCACCAUUCUCUAAAAAACCUCAGGCUCUCAUUAGCCUCCUCAAGACACACUUUUACACCCACCAGCCAACCUAGGAUGAUUGCCAACAGCUCCUGACCAUCCUCUUCAUAGCUGAGGAGCAGACAGAAUCUGGCUAGAGAGUCUGGUCAGGCCAUUUGGAAUCACUGCCAGAUAGAGGGGUGUUGUGAAACAAUCUUUUUGUACACUGUGAAGAUGUGUUGCUCUCAUUGGUUUAAUAAAUAGCUAAAUGGCCAAUAGCUAGGCAAGAAGAGGUUAGGCAGGACUUGUGAGUAGGGAGAGAGCUCUCUUGGAUGGAGAGGGGCUUAGUGAGAGGAGAUGUGGAGAGAAGCAAGAUGAAUUUGCUGUGCUGAUAAAAGGUACCAAGCCACAUAGUAGUACAUAGACAAAAAAAAUAGGGGUUAAUUUAAGUUAUAAGAGCUAGUUAGAAACAAGCCUAAGCUAUUGGCUGAGCAUUUAUAAUUAAUAAGUCUCUGUGUGGUUAUUUAGAAGCUAGCUGAUGGUACAAAAAAGUCCGCCUACAGAGGGGAACUUCUGCCCAGCCUGACUAGGACCCCAACACUGACCCAUUAAGGAUGCUCUGGGCAAUUUUUGCCAGGACCUUUUAGGAUGAAUGGAGGCAGCUGCUAGAAAAGCUACCGAUCUGUCUUAGGUGAGUGAGGUAAUACAAGAGCCCCAGGAAUGUCUGUGGUUCCUGAGAGCCUCUUUGAGGCUUCCCGGGUGUUCAUGCCUGUAGACCCAGAUGUGCCAAAAAAAAACAGUGAGCAACCAAAUAUUGCUUUUGUUACGUAGUCUCCCAAGAUAGUAGGAAGAAACUUCAGAGGUUAGGAGGGUUUGAGGGUAUGAAUAGGUCCCAGCUAUUGGAGCGUGUUCAGAAGCUUCAUGAUAACCUUGACGCUAGAAGAAAAGCAGAAUAAAAGAUAGACCUGAGCAGCAGGGGCAGCUCUCAGGGAGACGGAUAAGAGAGACCCCAGAGGGGGAAGCCAGAAUCUCCUGCAAAAGAAGAGGCUAGAGAAGGACCAAUGUGCUUAUUGCGUGCAAAAGGAACACCAGGAAAAUGAAUGCCCAAAUUGGAAGAGGCCAGAACUGACAGGGCCAGAGCUCCACUCCUCCAAGUCCUCAGGAGCCUGGGGUAACAUUAAAGGUGGGGGGCAAAUCUGUCAUCUUUAGCACACCUCAUCUGAAUGUAGUGGCCCUAUAAGGCAAGCCCCAACAACCAUAAGAAGGACAUUUUCCUUUACAUUUUAUUGGCAGGUUUUCAUUUAGCCCAAGCGGGCCUUGAGCAACUUGGACUCUGACCCUUCUGUCUCUGCCUUCCAAGAGCCGUAAGAACUGUACCACUGUGCCCUGCUUCCCCCUGCUCUUUCUUUCUUCUUCUAGUUAUCUGGUUCUUUGUGGUUUAAGUUUUCCUUCUUAAAUCUGAGUUCUUCUCAUGCGUCUGGGAUGAAGAAAUGCCAAGCUUCACCCAACUGUAAAGCUAGAUCUAGGCAAGAAUUUAAAGAGGGUCUUAGAGAGACAGUCCAGUUCACACCAUCACUGUUUUUCUCCUCCUCCUCUUCUUUUUUAGAUUUGUUAUGCAUACAGUAUUCUGCCUGCAUGUAUCCCUGCCCGCCAGAAGAGGGCACCAGAUCUCAUUACAGAUGGUUGUGAGCCACCAUGUGGUUGCUGGGAAUUGAACUCAGGACCUCUGGAAGAGCAGCCAGUGCUCUUAACCUCUGAGCCAUCUCUCCAGCCCCUUUUCUUCUUUUCAAGACAUGGUUUCUCUGUGUAGCCCUGGCUUUCCUGGAACUCACUUUGAAAACCAGGCUGACCUCAAACUCAGAGAUCUGCCUGCCUCUGCCUCCCAAGUUCUGGGAUUAAAGGUGUGUACCUCCAGACCCAUCUUCAUCAUUAUUUUUCAAGUACAAAAAUAAUGUACGGGCCCCGAAAGAUGGCUCAGCGGGUAAAGGUGCCUGCCCAUCAAGGCUGACAACCCAUCCCAGUACCCACAUGGCAGGAGAAAAGUGGUUCUCUGUUCUCUAUACAAACACAGUGGCACAAAUGUUCCCAUACACACACUAAAUAAAUAAAUAAAUGGAGUGAAGUUUUAAGUAAUACAUAUUCCUGUGUUUAGGUACAAAACAAUGACCAUGUUAUAGUAAUUGGGAAUUCAGAACAAUUAAAAAUGGGCAAUGAGAGGUGGGGGUGUAGCUCAGUGAUAUAAAGUACUUGCUUAGUAUAUGCAAGGCCCUAGGUUCACAGUAUCUAGCUUGCCCAUGGGCGCGUGCCCCCCCCCCCACAAUAACAACAUACAAAAAACGAAAUUCUCAUGACUCAAGAAUAUUAGCACACACAUGUACUCUCAACGCUCAGGUAGAAGUGGGAGGGUCACUGCAAAUCUGAGGGCUGCCUGGUCUACAUAGUAAGUUCCAGACUAGCCUGGGCUAUGUAAGGAUGCCCUGUAUUACAGUUCAUGUCUGGAAUACCAGCAUUUGGAAGGCUGAGGCAGGAGAAUUGCCAUGAGUUUGAGGUCAGCCUGAGUUACAGAAUAAGACCCUGUCUGAAAAAGCCAAAGGAAGACAGCUGACCAGAUGGCUCAGUGGUUAAGAGUGUGUACUAACUGCCCUUCCAGAGAACCCAGGUUCAGUUCCCAGCAUCCACAAGGCAGCUCACAGCCAUCUAUAACUCCACUUUCAGGAGAUCUGAUGCCUCAUCUGACUUCCACAGGCUCCUGCACACAUGUGAUGUACAUAUAUACAAAACUAAGUUUUUACGCCGGGCGGUGGUGGCGCGCGCCUUUAAUCCCAGCACUCGGGAGGCAGAACCAGGCGGAUCUCUGUGAGUUCGAGGCCAGCCUGGUCUCCAAAGCGAGUUCCAGGAAAAGGCACAA